AUGAACGCUGGCGGCGUGCCUAAUCCAUGCAAGUCGCGCGAACGGACGAGAAGCUUGCUUUUCUGAUGUUGGCGGCGGACGGGUGAGUAACACGUGGAUAACCUACCUAUAAGACUGGGAUAACUUCGGGAAACCGGAGCUAAUACCGGAUAAUAUUUUGAACCGCAUGGUUCAAAAGUGAAAGACGGUCUUGCUGUCACUUAUAGAUGGAUCCGCGCUGCAUUAGCUAGUUGGUAAGGUAACGGCUUACCAAGGCAACGAUGCAUAGCCGACCUGAGAGGGUGAUCGGCCACACUGGAACUGAGACACGGUCCAGACUCCUACGGGAGGCAGCAGUAGGGAAUCUUCCGCAAUGGGCGAAAGCCUGACGGAGCAACGCCGCGUGAGUGAUGAAGGUCUUCGGAUCGUAAAACUCUGUUAUUAGGGAAGAACAUAUGUGUAAGUAACUGUGCACAUCUUGACGGUACCUAAUCAGAAAGCCACGGCUAACUACGUG
rnacentral:rRNA from 1 species